rnacentral:rRNA from 1 species
GCGAACGCUGGCGGCAGGCCUAAUACAUGCAAGUCGAACGGCUUCUUCGGAAGCAGUGGCGGACGGGUGAGUAACGCGUGGGAACGUGCCCUUUGGUACGGAACAACUGAGGGGAACUUCAGCUAAUACCGUAUGUGCCCUUCGGGGGAAAGAUUUAUCGCCAUUGGAGCGGCCCGCGUUAGAUUAGCUAGUUGGUGGGGUAAAGGCCUACCAAGGCAACGAUCUAUAGCUGGUCUGAGAGGAUGAUCAGCCACACUGGGACUGAGACGCGGCCCAGACUCCUACGGGAGGCAGCAGUAGGGAAUCUUGCGCAAUGGGCGAAAGCCUGACGCAGCCAUGCCGCGUGAAUGAUGAAGGUCUUAGGAUUGUAAAAUUCUUUCACCGGGGACGAUAAUGACGGUACCCGGAGAAGAAGCUCCGGCUAACUUCGUGCCAGCAGCCGCGGUAA